rnacentral:rRNA from 1 species
UACGGGGGGAGCAAGCGUUGUUCGGAUUUACUGGGCGUAAAGGGCGCGUAGGCGGCCAGCACAAGUCAGUUGUGAAAUCUCCGAGCUUAACUCGGAACGGUCAACUGAUACUGUGCGGCUAGAGUGCGGAAGGGGCAACUGGAAUUCUUGGUGUAGCGGUGAAAUGCGUAGAUAUCAAGAGGAACACCUGCGGCGAAGGCGGGUUGCUGGGCCGACACUGACGCUGAGGCGCGAAAGCCAGGGGAGCGAACGGG